UACGGGGGGGGCUAGCGUUGUUCGGAAUUACUGGGCGUAAAGGGCGCGUAGGCGGUCUGCUAAGUUGGAUGUGAAAACUCUGGGCUUAACCCAGAGCCUGCAUUCAAUACUGACAGGCUAGAGUUCUGGAGGGGAUAGCGGAAUUCCUGGUGUAGCGGUGAAAUGCGCAGAUAUCAGGAGGAACACCGGUGGCGAAGGCGGGUCUCUGGGCAACAACUGACGCUGAGGAGCGAAAGCGUGGGGAGCGAACAGG
rnacentral:rRNA from 1 species